AUGCACGCUGGCGGCGUGCCUAAUACAUGCAAGUCGAGCGAACAGACGAGGAGCUUGCUCCUCUGACGUUAGCGGCGGACGGGUGAGUAACACGUGGAUAACCUACCUAUAAGACUGGGAUAACUUCGGGAAACCGGAGCUAAUACCGGAUAAUAUAUUGAACCGCAUGGUUCAAUAGUGAAAGACGGUUUUGCUGUCACUUAUAGAUGGAUCCGCGCCGCAUUAGCUAGUUGGUAAGGUAACGGCUUACCAAGGCAACGAUGCGUAGCCGACCUGAGAGGGUGAUCGGCCACACUGGAACUGAGACACGGUCCAGACUCCUACGGGAGGCAGCAGUAGGGAAUCUUCCGCAAUGGGCGAAAGCCUGACGGAGCAACGCCGCGUGAGUGAUGAAGGUCUUCGGAUCGUAAAACCCUGUUAUUAGGGAAGAACAAAUGUGUAAGUAACUAUGCACGUCUUGACGGUACCUAAUCAGAAAGCCACGGCUAACUACGUG
rnacentral:rRNA from 1 species